rnacentral:rRNA from 1 species
CACCGCGGUUAUACGAGAGGCUCAAGUUGACAGACAACGGCGUAAAGAGUGGUUAAGGAAAAUUUUUAAACUAAAGCCGAACGUCCUCAGAGCUGUUUAACGCUUCCGAGUUAAGAAGCCCCCCUACGAAAGUAGCUUUACCCUACCUGACCCCACGAAAGCUGUGAAA